UUGAGGUUGGUGCUGCAAACGGUGGGUCUGACCUGGCUCAGAUGGCCGGCGAAGAUGACAUGGCUGCCGCGCAAGAAGGUGCCCAGCAGCGCCGAGCUGCAUCUCCGACGAGGUCUGCUCAGUCAACCGACAGUGUGAAUCCAGAGGCCCCCGGCUGGACUAAAAGAAAAAUCUGGGUUCACCUAUGUGGUGCUCGCCGACAAAUCCAGUAAGGUGAUAAAUUGAAUACGGGAUAAUGGCAGCAGCCGCAUGCAGUACAAAUUCUUUGGGGAUGUCGUCACAUUCGACACCACAUACAUGACGAAUCUGUAUGACAUGCCAUCUGGAUUAUAUGUUGGAGUUAACAAUCACUACCGGAGCAUAAUCCUGGCGGGGUGUUGAUGUGCGAUGAACAAGAAGAAAGCUUUGAAUUGGUGUUUGCAGAAUUUUUGCGUAUGAUAGGCGGACCUGCCCCCAAAACAAUACUGACAGACCAAUGCAGGGUUAUGGACGUGGUGAUUAAGAAAACGGAUCCUGACACUGUCCACCGUUGGUGCAAGUGGCAUGUCCUGAAGAAGGCGAAGGAAACACUGGUACCA